rnacentral:rRNA from 1 species
UACUCCUACGCGGAGGCAGCAGUGGGGAAUAUUGCACAAUGGGCGCAAGCCUGAUGCAGCGACGCCGCGUGAGGGAUGACGGCCUUCGGGUUGUAAACCUCUUUCAGCAGGGAAGAAGCGCAAGUGACGGUACCUGCAGAAGAAGCACCGGCUAACUACGUGCCAGCAGCCGCGGUAAUACGUAGGGUGCGAGCGUUGUCCGGAAUUAUUGGGCGUAAAGAGCUCGUAGGCGGCCUGUCGCGUCGGAUGUGAAAGCCCGGGGCUUAACCCCGGGUCUGCAUUCGAUACGGGCAGGCUGGAGUGUGGUAGGGGAGAUCGGAAUUCCUGGUGUAGCGGUGAAAUGCGCAGAUAUCAGGAGGAACACCGGUGGCGAAGGCGGAUCUCUGGGCCAUUACUGACGCUGAGAGCGAGCUGCUC